GUGGGGAAUCUUGCGCAAUGGGCGAAAGCCUGACGCAGCCAUGCCGCGUGAAUGAUGAAGGUCUUAGGAUUGUAAAAUUCUUUCACCGGGGACGAUAAUGACGGUACCCGGAGAAGAAGCUCCGGCUAACUUCGUGCCAGCAGCCGCGGUAAUACGAAGGGGGCUAGCGUUGCUCGGAAUUACUGGGCGUAAAGGGCGCGUAGGCGGACAGCUUAGUCAGAGGUGAAAGCCCAGGGCUCAACCUGGGAAUUGCCUUGGAUACUGGCUGUCUUGAGUUUGGGAGAGGUGAGUGGAACUCCGAGUGUAGAGGUGAAAUUCGUAGAUAUUCGGAAGAACACCAGUGGCGAAGGCGACUCACUGGCCCAAUACUGACGCUGAGGCGCGAAAGCGUGGGGAGCAAACAGGAUUAGAAACCCGGGUAGUCC
rnacentral:rRNA from 1 species